rnacentral:tRNA from 2 species
AGGUAGUUCGUCUAAACAAGAUAGUUGAUUUCGACUCAACAGAUUUUGGUUAAAUUCCAAAACCACCUU